UUACUUUGAGGAAAUGAGGGUGCUCCAAGCAGGCUAUGGCCUUGCAUACGUUAGCAUGGAAUAAUAGGACAAGACGUUGUUCCGAAGUGGUUAGUUUUCGGUCCGAUGUAGUACUAAUAGAGGUAGUUGAGGGCAUUCGUAUUUAAUUGCUAGAGGUGAAAUUCUUGGAUUUUUUAAAGACGAGCUACUGCGAACGCAUCUGCCCAGGAUGUUCUUCUUGAUCAAGAACGAAAGUUAGGGGAUCGAAGACGAUCAGAUACCGUCCUAGUCUUAACCAUAAACCAUGCCGACUAGAAAUUGGGGUUGUCAGAGUCUUGACGUCUUCAGCAACUUAGGAGAAAUCAAAGUCUUUGGGUUCCGGGGGGAGUAUGGUCGCAAGACUGAAACUUAAAGGAAUUGACGGAAGGGCACCACCAGGAGUGGAGCCUGCGGCUUAAUUUGACUCA
rnacentral:rRNA from 1 species